AUAGUCAGUUCAGAAGGACAGAUGGUUAACUAAGUUAUUAAAAGUGGUUAAUUAGAGGAUUACGAUUAGAAUCUAGAAAUCAGGAGCAAUUAUAUAGGAAGUAUAGAAGUUUGUUGGAGUGCCAGACUAUGAUAGUCAUGAGUUGGGAUAAGCUUGGUGCUAUCUCUUUGUUACUUUGUUUUUCUUUGUUGUUGAAGAGUAAUGGAUAGUUUUUAAAUACUGAGAAGUGAGUUUGUAGAAUAAAUCAGAGAUUGAUUUAUGAAUUAUUGAUUAUGUAAUUGGAAUACUGGAUGAUUGAAUUAUAUGAAGAAUUAUUGGAAGAUUAUGAUUGUUGUUUAUUGAGAGCUGUGUGUGUUUUGGAUAAAUGAAGUUUGUGAUUAUAGAAAUUAUAUGAAUUCAGAUUGAUUGGAGUGAAGUUUGUUAUUUCUGGUGUUAGAUAGAAAUUAUGUAUUUUGAGCAGUCUUUUGAGAGUGCAAGAUUGUACACUAUUGUUAUCACUUGAUGAAGGAGUAUUAUUACUAAGAGAAAGCAUUGUAGUAUUUCUUGGUAUUUUAGUAGUUUAAAAUAUAGUUAAUUAUAAGACCCUAACAAAUAAAAAUUCAUGCACUUAGUCUUUCCUUGUGUUCAAAUUUUCCUUUACG
rnacentral:lncRNA from 1 species